AGCGGCGGACGGGUGAGUAACGCGUAGGAAUCUACCCAGUAGUGGGGGACAACUAGUGGAAACGCUAGCUAAUACCGCAUACGCCCUAAGGGGGAAAGCGGGGGAUCUUCGGACCUCGUGCUAUUGGAUGAGCCUGCGUAAGAUUAGCUUGUUGGUGAGGUAAUGGCUCACCAAGGCGACGAUCUUUAGCUGGUCUGAGAGGAUGAUCAGCCACACCGGGACUGAGACACGGCCCGGACUCCUACGGGAGGCAGCAGUCGGGAAUAUUGCGCAAUGGGGGAAACCCUGACGCAGCCAUGCCGCGUGUGUGAAGAAGGCCCUAGGGUUGUAAAGCACUUUCAAUUGGGAGGAAAAGCUAAUGGUUAAUAGCUAUUAGCCCUGACGUUACCUUUAGAAGAAGCACCGGCUAACUCCGUGCCAGCAGCCGCGGUAAUACGGAGGGUGCAAGCGUUAAUCGGAAUUACUGGGCGUAAAGCGCGCGUAGGCGGCUCUUUAAGUCGGAUGUGAAAGCCCCGGGCUCAACCUGGGAACUGCAUCCGAUACUGGAGGGCUAGAGUGUAGGAGAGGGAGGUAGAAUUCCAUGUGUAGCAGUGAAAUGCGUAGAUAUAUGGAGGAACACCAGUGGCGAAGGCGGCCUCCUGGCUUAACACUGACGCUGAGGUGCGAAAGCGUGGGGAGCAAACGGGAUUAGAUACCCCGGUAGUCCACGCCGUAAACGAUGUCUACUAGCUGUAGGGGUACUUGAGACCUUUGUAGCGCAGCUAACGCAAUAAGUA
rnacentral:rRNA from 1 species